rnacentral:rRNA from 1 species
CCUACGGGUGGCUGCAGUAGGGAAUCUUCCACAAUGGGCGCAAGCCUGAUGGAGCAACACCGCGUGAGUGAAGAAGGGUUUCGGUUCGUAAAGCUCUGUUGUUGGGGAAGAACGUGCGUGAGAGUAACUGUUCACGCAGUGACGGUAUCCAACCAGAAAGUCAGGGAUAACUACGUGCCAGCAGCCGCGGUAAUAUGAAGGUGGCAAGCGUUAUCGGGAUUUAUUGGGCGAAAAGCGAGCGCAGACGGUUGCGUAGGCCUGAAGUGAAAGCCUUCGGCUUAACCGAAGAAGUGCAUCGGAAACCGGGCGGCUUGAGUGCAGAAGAGGACAGUGGAACUCCAUGUGUAGCGGUGGAAUGCGUAGAUAUAUGGAAGAACACCAGUGGCGAAGGCGGCUGUCUGGUCUGCAACUGACGCUGAGGCUCGAAAGCAUGGGUAGCGAACAGGAUUAGAUACCCCUGUAGUC